GAGAGAGAGAGAGAGAGAGAGAGAGAGAGAGAGAGAGAGAGAGUGAGGGAGAGAGUUAAGUGGGAGGGAGAAAAGAUGAGACAUUAAAAGACGGCAGCAACAGUGCUGAAAAGAAAGCACAUUUCCUCCAACAUACUGCUGCCGCGGCGGCGGCGACAACAAUAACAGUAUUAACAGGAAGAAACAACACUAAGCAUGACGCACGGUAGCUAACCAGAGACUGUUCAUCCAUAGUGCCAGACUUUAAGCAGUGCAUGGCUAAUGAUUCACCCAGACAGAGGGGGGGGGGGGGGGGAGCUUUGGUGGUUGUUUUGCAGCAUACAUUACUCUUCAUUUUCGACUCGCUUGAUGAAAGAAACGCGGCCGCCGCGCCGUGACCAGUGGAAUUACACAACAACGCAUUACAGACGGCUAGCGUCGGAUUAUUACUGUUUCUGGGUGCCGGCAUGUCAUUUCCCCUACAGCCCGUUUGAAUCAUGUUCAAAAUAAUUGUGUUUAAUCUCUCCGACGGGUCAAUUCAGACAGAACACACACACAAGUGGUUGAAUAACGUUUUCUUCCUGCAGGCGACAACUUCACUGCAAAUAACUAUUAGCCAGUAACAUUCAUUCAAGGAUUUUUGCAUGUACUGUAUUUAGCUUCAUAGCCUUGUUUUAUUUUUUUUCUCAUACAAGGUUUGGGAUUUUUUUUUUUUUUUUCUCAUGCAAUUACCCCAGUGGUGGUUGAGGUACAAUACAAGCAACCGUACAGGAAGGUUUAGAGAAAGAAGGCUGCAAAUUUACAGUGCAUGUAAAACAGCCGUCCUGGCUCCUCAUCGUGUUACGUUAGCGCCAUCCACACUGAGUUUUCUUAGGAACCAAAGUUAAAUUUUCUGUUCUCAUGAUGAAAUAUUGAUGUUGUUCCAUGUAUGUGCCUUGAGGUUGAACUUACAAUGUAAAGUCCUUGAAGACCUUUAAAUGUUUUUGCACAAACUGUAAAUACUUAAGUGAAGCUUUUUGAAAAUAAAAGAGCCAUUGGAUUUGA